AAGUGGCUGAUAGAGGGCCACGUAAGUGGCAUAAUUUUACAAGGCGUAUAUUGAUUCAGUAGUCCAUCUUUCUCUCUCUCUACAUUUCCAGCAGCUUCUCCAUCUUCCCAGCUUCUUCUCCAUCUUCAACUUUAGCAGUGGCAUUCCAACCCAGCAAGCUUCCUACCUUACCCUUCUUCAGCCGAUCCACUUCAGCAGCUCAACUCAUCCGAUCAACAUCCUCAUCUUCAACAGAUCUUCAUUAGUUCAGCAACAGAUCAUCUUCAUCAUCAACAUUUCAUUUGGAUUUAAAGGAAAGAAGAAGAGAAAACAUAGAAUGAAGGAAUAUGGAUUAUCUGGUUUUGGAUGAACUUGAAGAUGAGAAAAGGAAGAAAGUGUCAAAGACCCAUUUGAAAAUAGCAAAGGAUAGUUGGUAGAGCUUAAGAGUAGAAAUAACUAGAUAUUGGGGGUUAGAGAAGGAUCCAAAUCAGGUAACUAAAGCUACUGGACAGUGAAGACUUGGAUAUCGAUAUACUUUUGGUAAGAAAAGUUAGUCCUCUCCUUAGCGUAGUGUAUUAAGGGAGAGUUAGAACGAUGUAUUUUGUAAUACUUAAGAUAGUAGCAAUGUCACCUUGUAUUUUUGGACUUUUGGUGAGGUGACAAGAACAUAUUGUAGCUGAAAGGAUUUUUGGUUAAUGAAAGAAGGGCGAGAUUUUGGAUUAAGAAGUUAGUAAAGAAUUAUGUUAGCCUUGCAUGUUAUUUUUUAAGUGUAUUUCAGAUAGAUGACAUGCGGCGGCUGGUCACGACUCGGUUCGGGGCGUGACACA